CAUUCGUAAUCCGAGCCACAUCUUUCUAGAAACAAAGAUGGCGGCGCUAUCACCGGACAAGACAGAGAAACGGUUCGAAUAGAGUCCGAUGCACUUUCAUUGGUUCUGUUUUGAAAUAUAAACACUCAACAAACUCGAAGUGUCGGAAAAGCUUCAACUUCUCAACCAAAAUCUACUAAGGUGCGACGAAGGUGAGUAAUGUGAUGGCAGGAAAGCGGAGCGGACAACGCAGAAAAAAGUCACUUCCAGAGGUUUGAAACUUCCUGGAGUUUAAUCAAAACACAGAACUGAAAUAGUCGGCACUGUAAACACACUCUGGACAGUUCGGACCAGCGGCUCCCUCAACAAACCCACACGGCAGCUACAUGGCGUCCACAUGAAGACGACGCACCGGCAGGGAAGGGCUGUUGAAAUUCAGCAUAACUAUGGUCAGCGCAGGAUAUUUCCAGACAUGAAUGCAAGGGCUCUGUGGAUUUUUUUCCCUUUCUUUUUCUGGAAGAUGAAAGAAACAGCUGAGGGGGUUUAUAAAUAAAUGCACAUUUAAAACC